CAACGGUGACGCGGAGGGACAUUUACCGAAGUUUACAACUUCCCAAACCCAAUGUGAACCAUACCAAACUUGUUUGCCUCGGCGGGGUCACGCCCCGGGUGCGUCGCAGCCCCGGAACCAGGCGCCCGCCGGUAGGGACCAACCAAACUCUUUUCUGUAGUCCCCUCGCGGACGUUAUUUCUUACAGCUCUGAGCAAAAAUUCAAAAUGAAUCAAAACUUUCAACAACGGAUCUCUUGGUUCUGGCAUCGAUGAAGAACGCAGCGAAAUGCGAUAAGUAAUGUGAAUUGCAGAAUUCAGUGAAUCAUCGAAUCUUUGAACGCACAUUGCGCCCGCCAGUAUUCUGGCGGGCAUGCCUGUCCGAGCGUCAUUUCAACCCUCGAACCCCUCCGGGGGGUCGGCGUUGGGGAUCGGGAACCCCUAAGACGGGAUCCCGGCCCCGAAAUACAGUGGCGGUCUCGCCGCAGCCUCUCCUGCGCAGUAGUUUGCACAACUCGCACCGGGAGCGCGGCGCGUCCACGUCCGUAAAACACCCAACUUCUGAAAUGUUGACCUCGGAUCAGGUAGGAAUACCCGCUGAACUUAAGCAUAUCAAAAGGGGGGAGAGAGAA
rnacentral:rRNA from 1 species